rnacentral:rRNA from 1 species
GAUUUCUGGUUUGAUGUACCUGUCCCGCUGCGGUAACGCAUGUGAGUGACGGAGUAUGUUUGCCAUCCUUCUAGAGAGCGCAGGCUAUCCUUUACUGGACCGGUCUGUGUCAUCUAGAUCUUUUACUUUGAAAAAAUUAGAGUGUUUCAAGCAGGCGUUUUGCUAUGAAUACAUUAGCAUGGAAUAAUGAGUUAGGACUUCGGUUCUAUUUUGUUGGUUUCUAGGACUGAAGUAAUGAUUGAUAGGGAUAGUUGGGGGUGCUAGUAUUCAGCGGCCAGAGGUGAAAUUCUUGGAUUCGCUGAAGACUAACUUAUGCGAAAGCAUU